rnacentral:tRNA from 1 species
GCAGUUGUGGCUGAGCGGCUAAGACGUCUGACUAGGAAUCAGAUUCCUCUUGGGGCGUAGAUUCGUAGGUUCUAAUCCAGCAGACUGCG